rnacentral:rRNA from 1 species
GACGAACGCUGGCGGCGUGCUUAACACAUGCCAGUCGAACGGAAAGGCCCGGCUUUUGUGGGGUGCUCGAGUGGCGAACGGAUGAGUAACAAGUGAGUAACCUGCCCUUGACUUUGGGAUAACUUCAGGAAACUGGGGCUAAUACCGGAUAGGAGCUCCUGCUGCAUGGUGGGGGUUGGAAAGUUUCGGCGGUUGGGGAUGGACUCGCGGCUUAUCAGCUUGUUGGUGGGGUAGUGGCUUACCAAGGCUUUGACGGGUAGCCGGCCUGAGGGGGUGACCGGCCACAUUGGGACUGAGAUACGGCCCAGACUCCUACGGGAGGCAGCAGUGGCGAAUAUUGCACGAUGGGCGGAAUGCUGAUGCAGCAACGCCGCGUGCGGGAUGACGGCCUUCGGGUUGUAAACCGCUUUCGCCUGUGACGAAGCGUGAGUGACGGUAAUGGGUAAAGAAGCACCGGCUAGCUACGUG